rnacentral:lncRNA from 1 species
CUUGAGUUUGGGGAUGACUGAGCCAGACAUUGGUCCAUCUGUGUUUCCAGGGGUUGGUGGCAUCACAUGCAAUCCCAACCCACCAACACUCACAUGUAGGUAACCAGUGUGAGUAAAACCAGUGAGACCCCCCUGGGACUCCAGUCAUCCUCCUGCCUGCAGGUUCAGGUUUGCAUCCAGCACACAGGAAGGGCAGAGAAGGAAGGGCUGGGGGAUUCACAAGGGCUGCAGAUGUCCUGGCUGCUGAGCAGCUGGGGGAGAAGGAAGUUCUUCCUUCUGAAAUCCCAAUGGAUACAGUACCCAGGGCACUGUGAGAAAAUCCUGGAUUUAUGGAUGGAGCAGUUUCCCCACCACAUGAACCCCAGAGCUGACACAUGUAGAAAAAGGCUUUCAGCGCUGGGUACAAGCUAGAAAUAAUGGGAGGUGAAGCUUGUCCCUGAGAAAAGAGCCUUAAAAUAAUAAAGUGUACACUGGAAAGGGGG